rnacentral:rRNA from 1 species
UACGUAGGGUGCAAGCGUUGUCCGGAAUUAUUGGGCGUAAAGAGCUCGUAGGCGGUUUGUCGCGUCGAAUGUGAAAACCCGGGGCUCAACCCCGGGCCUGCAUUCGAUACGGGCAGGCUAGAGUUCGGUAGGGGAGACUGGAAUUCCUGGUGUAGCGGUGAAAUGCGCAGAUAUCAGGAGGAACACCGGUGGCGAAGGCGGGUCUCUGGGCCGAUACUGACGCUGAGGAGCGAAAGCGUGGGGAGCGAACAGG